CUGAGAACCACUGGGACACACCAUUGUCUUCUGCAGCCAACUGGCGGCCACGCUAUACUCUCUACUCAAAAGAUAGUUUCCUGAGACAAGGACUUUUCAAACUGUGGGUUACAAUACGAAUGUGGACCACGGCAGCAACUCGCUAGCAACACCGAGACAUCAGCAACAAGGGGAAGCCUGUGGCUGUGAAUGUGACCAUUUGAUCCAGGGGCCACUCCAGGCUCAGCCCUGGAGGUGAGGCCUGUGUGGUGAGUGAGCAGAACACUUGAGAACAUGCAUUCUGCAACCGCAUGUGCAAGAGACGUGAUAUUGCUGAGUGUCAGCAUGCAGAGCCAUCAGGAUGGAAGCCCAGGAGAGGCAGAGUGAGGACACGACAAGUUUCAGGCAGCUGGCUCUGAGCAGAGAGUGUCUGCAGUUACAGUCUUGGAGUCUUUGUGCUAAGAGCAGAAGAUAAUUCUCUAAAUACAGUAAUCCCCCUUAUCUGCAAGGAAUACAUUCAGGGAGGCCUGAAAUCACAGAUAGUACUGGGCCCUAUAUAUCCACCACGUUUUUGCCUAUACAUACAUACAUAUGAUAAAGUUUAACUUAUAAAUUAGGCAAAGCAAAAGAUUAACGGCAAUAAGUAAUAAAAUAGAACAAUUAUAAAAACAUACAGUAA